UACAGAGGGUGCAAGCGUUAAUCGGAAUUACUGGGCGUAAAGGGUGCGUAGGUGGCUAAUUAAGUUGUGUGUGAAAGCCCUGGGCUUAACCUAGGAAUUGCAUAUAAUACUGAUUAUCUAGAGUACGGGAGAGGGAAGUGGAAUUUCCGGUGUAGCGGUGAAAUGCGUAGAUAUCGGAAGGAACACCAGUGGCGAAGGCGACUUCCUGGCCCGUUACUGACACUGAGGCACGAAAGCGUGGGGAGCGAACAGG
rnacentral:rRNA from 1 species